rnacentral:rRNA from 1 species
UACGUAGGGCGCAAGCGUUGUCCGGAAUUAUUGGGCGUAAAGAGCUCGUAGGCGGCUUGUCACGUCGGGUGUGAAAGCCCGGGGCUUAACCCCGGGUCUGCAUUCGAUACGGGCUGGCUAGAGUGUGGUAGGGGAGAUCGGAAUUCCUGGUGUAGCGGUGAAAUGCGCAGAUAUCAGGAGGAACACCGGUGGCGAAGGCGGAUCUCUGGGCCAUUACUGACGCCGAGGAGCGAAAGCGUGGGGAGCGAACAGG